rnacentral:rRNA from 1 species
UACGAAGGGGGCUAGCGUUGUUCGGAUUUACUGGGCGUAAAGCGCACGUAGGCGGAUCGUUAAGUCGGGGGUGAAAUCCUGGAGCUCAACUCCAGAACUGCCUUCGAUACUGGCGCUCUUGAGUCCGGAAGAGGUGAGUGGAACUCCUAGUGUAGAGGUGGAAUUCGUAGAUAUUCGGAAGAACACCAGUGGCGAAGGCGACUCACUGGACACGUAUUGACGCUGAGGU